GGAAUAAAAGUCGUAACAAGGUCACCGUAGGUGAACCUGCGGAGGGAUCAUUACAGAGUUCUCGCCCUCGCGAGUAGAUCUCCCACCCACUGUUAUCGUUACUGUGUUGCUUUGGCGGGCCGCCGGGCCCCGCUCGGCCGCCGGCUCCGGCUGGCGCGCGCCCGCCAGAGGCCCAGCAAACUCUGAAUGUUAGUGUCGUCUGAGUACUAUAUAAUAGUUAAAACUUUCAACAACGGAUCUCUUGGUUCUG
rnacentral:misc_RNA from 1 species